GUAUGUGUGCGUGUGCGUACGGUUGUGUGCUUGUUUGCCUCUACAUCCACCAUUUUUCUCCGUCCUGACGACCGCCUGCUCCCUCCUAGACCCGCUGCCUGUCCUGCCACGGCGACGGCUGGUACACGGACUCCUCGGGCUACAAGGAGCGUUGUUUCUACUGCCAGUCCUCGACGCAUGGCCACGGCCGCCAGGACUGCCUCAAGUGCAACGCCAAGGGCCGCGUCGCCUGCCCGCCCUGCGACAGCUACGGCCAGAUCCGCUGCUUCAUCAGACUCACUAUCACCUGGAAAGUGCACACCUCAGAGCAUAUUGUCAGGAAAGGUGGACUGCCCGAGGAACUGGUGAAGGAAGUGUCAGGACAAGUUGCCUUUGAAGAAGAGGGUCCACGCAUUUUCCCCCUGACCCAGUUUCCUGAUAACACAAUCAACCUUGCCUCUGCACAGCUUGUUAAUAGUCACAAGAACAAGUUUGUCGACGAGCGGAUCUAUGGACAGCGUCAUCAAGUCCGCAUUGUCCCAGUGGCCGAAGUCGAGUAUGGUUUCAAAGGGGGUCCAGGCAAAUUUUGGGUGUAUGGCUAUGAGAAUAAGGUACAUUCUCCUGACUACCCACAGACCUGCUGUUGGGGCUGCUGCUGUGUCAUGUAGUCCCUGAGCCUUACAUGGCAUUAAAAAAAUAACACUUGGCUAUCCUUUCAACAGUUUUGAAUUAUCAGAAAAGUCUCUCUAGACUGUUCGAUAUAAGGCUAUUUCACACACACACACAAAAAAAAAAAAUUCUGACUGUCUCUCAAAUGUUCCUGUCUAAUAUUUUCCAGGGAGUGAAAGUUUAUGGUAAGUUCUUUGAGGAUUUAUGGAAAACUCUGCAGGGAUUACAUUCCUGGAUUUUUUUUUUCUUUUUUCUUUUUCUUUUUUUUUUUUUUUUUUCUUUCAUGUAUGGUGCAAUGAUUCAUUUACAAACCAGUUUUAAAUAAGUAAUCCUAUCCAUUGCCAAUAUAUCUUGUACAAUUGGUAUUUUGUUCACUGGAUCAUUCUAAUACUUGGAUAUCCCUAUUGCAUUCAUUGCUUCUUGUCAGUAAAUUAUUGCAAGUGACAGUGAGGUCUUAUGCCACAAUUGGUAACAGAAUAUAUUAAUGGCAGAGAUUAUGGAAUAAGUUCAUUAGCAAUUAAAGGAAGGGUUUAUUUUCCCUUCCCACUGUGUAUUGUAAUGUAGAGAGCACAAAGAAAAUGCUUUGAAUGCUAGAUUUUGCUUUAUGUGAAAGUUAUUAUCACUUUUUUUUGUUUGUUUUUCAAGCAUUUGGAUAACAAUUUAUUACAGAUGUCUGCAGAUUGCAUUAUCUUCUUGAAUAAAAGAGAGAAAGAUCAUAGACUAUAUAAGUCAUGUUGUCACAGAAAAGUAUCAGUAGACACAAAGGAAAAUAUAUAUUUUGGUGUGAUGAAAACACAACACAGUCCAGACCAAAAGCCAUCCAUAUUAAUAUCAAGAUUCAUGAGAAUUGUCAUUUGCCGAUGAAAAUGUACAUUGUGCAUGAUUGUUAGAAGCUGAGUGACUUUUUGCCAAUACAGUAUAGUAGUUUUCACCAAAUUAUUAACUAUUAUUGCAAUACAGACAUAGGACUUGGUCUCUAUCAUAUUAGCAUCUCCACAUCAAUGUGUAAGGAAAUUUUGGCACCUCACUUAUUUGACAGAUAUAAGAAAAUACAUUGUUUUUAUAUGGUCUAGCCAUUGAACUGCCAAGCAUAUUCAAAGCGCUUCAAAUUUAGAUGAUGCAUUAAUUACAUAUUUUAUAUUAAUGCAGUAUUGUGCAUAUGAAGUGUGGCUUUUAAAGAAAUGAGAAAUGAAAUAGACAGAAAAGGUCAGUAAUCAUUGUGCAUUAUUUUCCGUAUUUAACAUGUGAGUGAAUCAGUUUAAACAGUCACUUUCUCUAGUCAUAGUCAUGUGCACAUCAUCCUUUAUGGGCAAGUCAACAGUUUAGUUAUUGUCUGGUCUUGUAGAAUGAUAUUUCUAAAUUACUUAGUCAGUUUGUAAAUAAAUUCUUUACUUAGAAUUAUUCUAACUCUAUGAAAGUGGGACUUUAGUUAGUAAUACAGAUUCACCAGAUAAGAUUACUUUCUGUUAUUUAUCAGAAACAUCAUCUCCAACACUGUUUUAUGUACAGUACUCUCGAAUUAUAUAUUUGAAAUGACACUCAUUAUGCCUGGUGUGUAAAUUUUCUUGAAUCAAAAACUAGAUAUUUUGAGAGAAAGAAUUAUAUAAGAGUGAAUUUGGCAUCAGAUACAGAAAUGAGUGUUACCAUACAUACUGCUGCCAAGCUUAUUCUUGAAGACUUUUGUGUUUUAUGACUUCCAUAAAUUCCUAACCUUCCUUUCCAAGUGAAUAUGAAAAAUGUGGUUAAGAUUUUAAGAUUUUUAACAUUUUAAAGUAAAAAAAAAAUUGAUUUUGAAUGGCAGUAAUGUAAAGAUUUGUUUGUAAAAGAUUACAUGCACAAACAUUUACAUAUUUGAAGUCAAGGCAUUACACACAAUGUUUUUGGUGAUUCUGAUAUUGAUAAAAGAUCAUUACCAUCUUCAUUUGAUAAUAAUAGUAAAGUCUUUAAAGACUAUGGUGAUACAGAGCUGCAUUGUUUUAUACUUGAGCAUAUUUGACACUGCAUCAGAGAGAAAUCUGAAGAAAUUUGUAGUACUGUUUUCCUUGAACCAUGUGUACCCAGUGUCAUGCAAGAAGUUUAUAAUUUUUUUUUAAACCCAUGUUAUGCUUCACUGACAUACUGAUACCAAUGAUAUAUUAGAUUUGUUUACUUUCCCAUAAUGGAUAUAUAUUGCUGCAAUUAUUACGUCUAGUCAUGCCCCAAACACAGACUAAUUUCAUGCUUUCAUUAGAUGGUUGUCAAAAGAAAAAAAAUUAUAUAUAUAUAGUAUGUAAAAAGAUUGUGAAAGAAAUCAAAAGGAAAUCAGUAGAAUAAUAUGUUAUAUUUAAUUUAGAUAUAAGGAAAGUGCUUAAAUCAUUAAUUCGUGUUACACUAGUAGGUGUGGGAAAUGUCUAAGUGUGUACAACUGCCAAUACAGUAAAUGGGUAUAUUAGCUAGGGAAUGAUUGGUAAUAUUGAGUUUCUCCUUCUUCCCUUUCAUUUAUGCGAUCUGUAUUUAGUUCAUUCAAGAUAAUAAACUUAGUGAAACAUGGAGUACACAAUAAAAAGGAAAAAAGUGAGCAGAAGUGCUUUUUCAUGAUUUCUCUGAAAAAGGAGAUUUUUUUUCUGAGAUAAUUAUCAUCUUUUUCAUCGAGUCUUUCUCUCUCUCCAACGUCAGUAAAUUUAGUGUUUUAUCAAAAUACCCCUUAAGAUUCAAAAUUGCCAAUCAUUAAACAUCUGUUGUAGAACAUAAUUGCAUUGUAUAGACUGAUGAAUGCCACUGCUCUAGGGCACAUCAUGCAGCAAGGUCUUGACCAAUGUUUAAGUGGUUACUUGAGAGGUUACUGAUUAGAUCAUUUGGGAAUGUGGAGAUUUGAUUUACUUUGUGUGUGUGUGUGUGUGUGUGUG